rnacentral:rRNA from 1 species
GACGUAGAGCGCGAGCGUUGUCCGGAUUUAUUGGGCGUAAAGAGCUCGUAGGCGGCUUGUCGCGUCGUCCGUGAAAACUUGGGGCUCAACCCCAAGCUUGCGGUCGAUACGGGCAGGCUAGAGUUCGGUAGGGGAGACUGGAAUUCCUGGUGUAGCGGUGAAAUGCGCAGAUAUCAGGAGGAACACCGGUGGCGAAGGCGGGUCUCUGGGCCGAUACUGACGCUGAGGAGCGAAAGCGUGGGGAGCGAACAGG